rnacentral:rRNA from 1 species
GUCCACGCCGUAAACGAUGUCUACUAGUUGUCGGUUGUCUUGUACGACGGGUAACGCAGCUAACGCGAUAAGUAGACCGCCUGGGGAGUACGGCCGCAAGGUUAAAACUCAAAUGAAUUGACGGGGGCCCGCACAAGCGGUGGAGCAUGUGGUUUAAUUCGAAGCAACGCGAAGAACCUUACCUGGCCUUGACAUCCUGCGAAUCUCUUGGAGACAAGAGAGUGCCUUCGGGAACGCAGAGACAGGUGCUGCAUGGCU